UAUGGUGAUACCCGGGCGCCGUGCGCUCAAGCAAGGCGCGCUCUCCUGGAUCUCUCGCCGCCGCCUCGUUACUCUGGUUCUUGGAGCUGUGCUGCUCGCCUACAUUCUUGUUUCGCUUCAAGAUCGAGGAUAUCGGGCCGGAUCUACGUCGUCUUCGUCGCGGUGGGCGGAUUACACGCUUGAGGCCGCCGCUGCUGCAGUGGCGCGGGACGGCAGGAUCGUCGUGUGCGCGGUGAGCUUCCCCUACCUUGCAUUCCUCGUGAAUUGGCUGAUUAGCAUCGCGAGCCACGGGCACCACGACAAGGUGUUGGUGAUUGCCGAAGACUAUGAGAUGCUCAACUACGUGAACGAGUUCUGGCCUGGCCAUGCGGUCCUUGUGCCACCGGCAUUGCCACUUGCGACUGCUCAGAGGUUUGGAUCACAGGGUUUCUUUAAUUUCACUUCCCGCAGGCCACAACAUCUGCUCAAACUUUUGGAACUUGGCUACUCUGUUCUUUACAACGACGUGGAUAUGGUCUGGAUGAGCGAUCCAUUCCCGUUGUUUACUGGUGACCAUGACAUAUAUUUCACAGACGACAUGACUGCGAUCAAGCCUCUUGACCAUUCUCACAGCCUUCCGCCUCCAGGAAAGAAAGGCAGAACCUACAUCUGUAGCUGUAUGAUCUUCCUGCGGCCCACACCUGGAGCAAAGCUUGUUCUACAAAAAUGGAUUGAAGAGCUUCAACAGCAGCCCUGGUCUCCCAAGGCAAAGGCAAACGAUCAGCCUGCCUUCAACUGGGCUUUGAACAAAACUUCCAACAAGGUUGACAUGUAUCUCCUACCUCAGGCAUCCUUCCCUUCCGGCGGACUAUACUUCAAGAACGAAACCUGGCGAAGAUUACCUCAGAACCAGAACAAGCUCACGAUUAUUCACAACAAUUACAUCACUGGCUUUGACAAAAAGAUCAAGCGAUUUCACGACACCGGCCUCUGGCUCAUCGACGACGCUCAUGUCAACACCUUGCCCGACUUUAAUCUCGUAAAACACUAUCUCGACACGCAGCCACAACUAUAGCAAUCUCGUCUCCAUCACAAGUUUCCCUCGAGCAGCUGUCCACCGGAUAUCGAUCUUCUCCUUUUUAUCUCCACUUUAUUCUCUCUCUGGUGAUAUCACCUGAGCUCACACUUAGACAUGCGGCCCUGGUUUAUUUCCAUUGUCCCGCCUUGUACAACUGCUCUUGUGGCGUUUGUUGUCUUCAUCAAUAGUUUCCAGCCACUAGUCGCGGACGGAGAUAACUGUGACUUAACUCUACUUCACAUUUGUUCACGAAGGCGAGAAGAUCGACCGUAGCUCUGGUUAGUUUCCUUUUGGCACUCCCUUUUUUGUUGUAUAUAAGUGUAUCGCUGCCGAGAGCUAAUUUUACUGGGACUAGUUUGUCCUUUUUUCCCUUGUAGGUGGAAGCGAUGAA